AGGGCCACAGCUCAGCAGGAGAGCACCUGCUUGGCAUGCAGAAGGUCCCAGGUUCAGUCCCUGCUGGCAUUU